ensembl:lncRNA
CAAACACACUUUUCCAAAUAUAGCAUUAGUGGGCUUGCUCGUAUUUCAAGGAUAUGUCUCCAUGAAUACUGGUUUGUCUCAUAGUUCUCACUUUUUUGGAAGACUUGACUUAGUCCAGAAAUGCCAUGGCAUGCAUACAAAAGUUAGCUUCUUAUAUUCUGAAACAGAACAAAAAAGGAACAUAUACUCUGAUAGGAGAUUCCAUCAUAUGAGCUCAGAACACAGAACUUUAUCAAUCUGAUGAAAGGUUUUUCCACAUUUGACAUACUAUAAAAUAUACUACAAAGUAAGUCACUUCCCGAAAGAUUGCUGUAUGUGAAGAAUGGAAAAAAAAAAACACCUCAAAACAAAGUUAGGACUAAAGAUUAACAAAUGAAUAAUAAAGAAACUAAGUGGUUUUGUCUGUGUUUGUCUGUGUAUGUGUGUUUGCUCAAAGAGGACAUGUUUCAGAAUGGCUUGCCUUGUUCAUAGGCAGAUAACUGUUGGCAAACUUUGUUUAAAUGAGGUGGAGAAGAAGCUGCUACAUUAAAGGGUAAAUUUAAUAAGUAAAACCAUAGUAACCAUAAAACAAGAAUGUUAUCAUUUGAAGCUUAUGUGAAAGAUCAACAUAUGUGCUAUCAAAUAUAUAAAAGUAUGUGGCGUUUACAAUGGCCAGGGACAAACCAAUUCGCAUAAGCUAAAAGGAAAUUUCUGAAAAGAGAAAUAGGAUGUUCUGCAGUGGUUGGUCUGCUGUGGGAGCAGUAGGACUAGGGUUUCUGCAUAAUAUGAUGAGAUUAAAAAGGACCUGAGACAGAGAGAGGCACUCUGAGCAGUUCACUAUUUUGGAUGCUAGCUCACAGAAUUUAAUCACAGUCUCUGUCAUUUGAUUACCAUCAAUACUGAUGAUUUGUCCAUUUCAGGAUAAGCAGGAAGCAGGAUUUCAACUCACUGCUCUAUCAUUAUCCAUUCUUGGCAACAUAUUACAGUAAUCUACUAUUAUGCUUAUGUCCCUGAUCAAGAGACCUUCUAUUCCACUCUUCUUGUAUUGAUUACUUUUUAAGCAAAGUUCAUGUAAGCCAGUAGGUCACAGGCAAUCCUAAAAUUUAUUCCCACUUGGAACAUUUUCCUUCUGGACUUUAUUAAACAUAAUGUUCUAGGCAUUAUGAGUACUCUAAGGUAUUCUUGAAUAAUAACCCAAACUGCAAAGUGAAAGUAAGUGUCAAUUAAAAUUGCAGAGACGGGAGGCCUGAGACAAGAAAAUGACAGCAUCUUUUCCCAAAGACUGCUGGACGGGUGAUCCAACUCCAGGGUCAGCAGGCUGAGCCUGAGGUCCAGAUCCAAACCCACCAUCUGUUUACGUAUGCCCCACACGACCUAAGAGUGGUCAUUAUACUAUUAAGUGGUUGAGGAAAAAAAGUAAUGAGAGUAUUUUGUGACAGGUGAAAAUGAGAUGAAAUUCAAAUUCCAGGGUCCAUAAAUAGGGUUUAAUUGGCACAUAGCCACAGUCAUCUGUUUAAUACUGUCCAUGGCACUUGUGUGCAGCAGAGUUAAGUAGCUGAGACUUUGAGGGCAUAGCCCACAAAGCCUAACAUAUUUACUACCUCUUUCUAGAAAAAAGCUAUCUCAGAGUUUCUAAUAUCAUAUGAAUUAUUUUGUAUUUGUUUUCUAAUCCAUCAUGGAUCAAGCUAUGCUUUUGUAUAAUACAAAAUCACGUACUCAGAUGCUACAGAAAUGUCAAAUUGCUAUCCUUUUAUCAAAUGCUUGCUCUCAGUUUCUGGACUAUCUGGAUGUAUACUUGCACAAACGUUUUGUGGACUAGCACUAGCCCACAGACUAGAGUUUCAAAAAGCUCUACUCUAGAUAAUGCAAGGAUACCUUAAUAAAACUUUUUGGAAAACAUCAUUCCUUCCCUA